GACAGAGGGUGCAAACGUUGUUCGGAAUUACUGGGCGUAAAGCGCACGUAGGCGGAUUUGUAAGUCAGGGGUGAAAUCCCGGGGCUCAACCUCGGAACUGCCUUUGAUACUGCAAAUCUCGAGUCCGGAAGAGGUGAGUGGAAUCCCUAGUGUAGAGGUGAAAUUCGUAGAUAUUAGGAAGAACACCAGUGGCGAAGGCGGCUCACUGGUCCGGUACUGACGCUGAGGUGCGAAAGCGUGGGGAGCAAACAGG
rnacentral:rRNA from 1 species